rnacentral:rRNA from 1 species
CCUACGGGGGGCAGCAGUGGGGGAUAGUGCACAAUGGGGGAAACCCUGAUGCAGCGACGCCGCGUGAGUGAAGAAGGAGUUCGGUAGGUAAAGCUCUAGCAGCAGGGAAGAAAAGGACAGUACCUGACCAAGAAGCCCCGGCUAACGACGUGCCAGCAGCCGCGGUAAUACGUAGGGGGCAAGCGUUAUCCGGAUUUACUGGGUGUAAAGGGAGCGUAGACGGUUCUGGAAGUCUGGAGUGAACGCCCGGGGCCCCACCCCGGGACUGCUUUGGAAACUGUGUAACUGGAGUACAGGAGGGGCAGGCGGCAUUCCUGGUGUAGCGGUGACAUGC